rnacentral:rRNA from 1 species
GACGAACGCUGGCGGCGUGCCUAAUACAUGCAAGUUGAGCGCUGAAGGUUGGUACUUGUACCAACUGGAUGAGCAGCGAACGGGUGAGUAACGCGUGGGGAAUCUGCCUUUGAGCGGGGGACAACAUUUGGAAACGAAUGCUAAUACCGCAUAAAAACUUUGAACACAAGUUUUAAGUUUGAAAGAUGCAAUUGCAUCACUCAAAGAUGAUCCCGCGUUGUAUUAGCUAGUUGGUGAGGUAAAGGCUCACCAAGGCGAUGAUACAUAGCCGACCUGAGAGGGUGAUCGGCCACAUUGGGACUGAGACACGGCCCAAACUCCUACGGGAGGCAGCAGUAGGGAAUCUUCGGCAAUGGACGAAAGUCUGACCGAGCAACGCCGCGUGAGUGAAGAAGGUUGUCGGAUCGUAAAACUCUGUUGGUAGAGAAGAACGUUGGUGAGAGUGGAAAGCUCAUCAAGUGACGGUAACUACCCAGAAAGGGACGGCUAACUACGUG